rnacentral:piRNA from 1 species
UGACUAUGCUUCCCUAGUGUUGAUGUAAGU